rnacentral:rRNA from 1 species
GUAAACCUACGGGGGGCAGCAGUAGGGAAUCUUCCACAAUGGGCGAAAGCCUGAUGGAGCAACGCCGCGUGGGUGAAGAAGGUCUUCGGAUCGUAAAACCCUGUUGUUAGAGAAGAAAGUGCGUGAGAGUAACUGUUCACAUUUCGACGGUAUCUAACCAGAAAGCCACGGCUAACUACGUGCCAGCAGCCGCGGUAAUACGUAGGUGGCAAGCGUUAUCCGGAUUUAUUGGGCGUGAAGAGAACGCAGGCGGUCUUUUAAGUC